rnacentral:tRNA from 1 species
ACCGGGCAUGGAUGAAGAACGAACCUCAAUCAAGUUGACGACGUGCCCGUGCAGCGACCGAGCGGUCAGAGGUUCGAGUCCUCUCCCCGGCGCC